rnacentral:rRNA from 1 species
GUUUCAGCCGCCGCGGUAAUACGAAGGGGGCUAGCGUUGAUCGGAAUUACUGGGCGUAAAGCGCACGUAGGCGGGUUUGUAAGUAGGGGGUGAAAUCCCCGGGCUCAACCCGGGAACUGCCUUCUAGACUGCAAGCCUAGAGGUCAGGAGAGGCGAGUGGAAUUCCGAGUGUAGAGGUGAAAUUCGUAGAUAUUCGGAGGAACACCAGUGGCGAAGGCGACUCGCUGGACUGAUACUGACGCUGAGGUGCGAAAGCGUGGGGAGCAAACAGGAUUAGAUACCCUCGUAGUCC